GCGGAGGCGGGAGGAGAGGCAUAGGUGGAGCAGAGAGGGCUGCUGAUUGGACGGGUCCUCUUGGGCUCCGACCAAUAAAAAGAACACGAGCGUGAGCCUCCCCGCGGGAGCGAGAGUCCUCGGACUACACCUAGGGGAACCAGACUCUACUCUCACUGGCUCUUGCCAAAGAGAUCCUGCCCAGGAAUUAAAACCCCUGGAGGAAGGACGAGCUGAUUUUCUCCUGGACUCUCAUUUGAAAAACUUAACGUGUUUGGAGUCACUUUACAUUCUGGACCCUGGGAGCUUUGGGCAUGUGGCUUAAUGACAACUGCAAGAUCUAAGCGUUGAAGACACAGUGUGAAUUCUGACCACCAUCACCUCCACUGGCUUUGGCCUCAGCCUUUUCCUGAUAUGGAAAGUUUGGAUUCAGAGGAAGAGCAGAAGAAAACAGCCUAGGAAGGGGCAGGUCCCAGAAGAGCUCACUAAAUCUAGGUAACAAAAACCACUGGGAGUCUUUUCAGGACACCACCUGGAUGAGAACGAUAAAGUCAUUGCUUGGUCUUUCUGAGUGUUUCUAUUUAAGAUGCAAAUUUCAGGGAAAGCAUCUACUUGGCUGUUUGAGAAUAUGGGUCCAACCCUUUUGCCAGAAGAGAGCAAAGCAUCAGACUGACUGCCCCACCAAGACGGCUGGCUCAUGGAGCAGUUCCCAGCAGAAGGAAGCUGGAUACCUGCAGGCAAAAACAAAUCAGCUGUCUCCACCUGGCCCUGAAUGGUCAAAUGCAUGUGCAAUACUUAGUACAAGUCCUAGAUCAUAGCAUUUGCUCAAUACAC